UGCCUCCGCCGGUGCCGAAGGCUCUGAAAAGGAAACAUAGAAACAGGGGCGUGAGAACUAUUAAAAUAGUUCCCAGUGGGCAAUUACUGACUUCAGUGAACUGCGCCACAAGGCCCAAAAGCUACAAGAAGAGGUCAGUGACUAUAAAUGUAAUAAUUAGACGGUAAGUAAAAUAUAUCUUACUAUAGCAUAAAGUCUCCACUUAGCAUAAAUAGCAUGAGUACGAAAGCAACUAUGCAUGAAGUAAUAGUCUCCAACUAUCAUAAUGUUCACAAUGCGAAAUAGUAAAAUGCCGAU
rnacentral:lncRNA from 1 species